rnacentral:rRNA from 1 species
GAUGAACGCUGGCGGCGUGCUUAACACAUGCAAGUCGAACGGAAAGGCCCAAGCUUGCUUGGGUACUCGAGUGGCGAACGGGUGAGUAACACGUGGGUGAUCUGCCCUGCACUUCGGGAUAAGCCUGGGAAACUGGGUCUAAUACCGGAUAGGACCACAUUUUGGAUGGUGUGGUGGAAAGUUUUUCGGUGUGGGAUGAGCUCGCGGCCUAUCAGCUUGUUAGUGGGGUAAUGGCCUACCAAGGCGUCGACGGGUAGCCGGCCUGAGAGGGUGUACGGCCACAUUGGGACUGAGAUACGGCCCAGACUCCUACGGGAGGCAGCAGUGGGGAAUAUUGCACAAUGGGCGCAAGCCUGAUGCAGCGACGCCGCGUGGGGGAUGACGGCCUUCGGGUUGUAAACUCCUUUCGCUAGGGACGAAGCGUUUUUGUGACGGUACCUGGAGAAGAAGCACCGGCUAACUACGUG